rnacentral:rRNA from 1 species
AACGAACGCUGGCGGCAGGCCUAACACAUGCAAGUCGAACGCCGUAGCAAUACGGAGUGGCAGACGGGUGAGUAACGCGUGGGAACAUACCCCUCGGUUCGGAAUAACUUAGGGAAACUUGAGCUAAUACCGGAUACGUCCGAGGUUUUAACCGGCCUCGGAGAAAGAUUUAUCGCCGGAGGAUUGGCCCGCGUCUGAUUAGCUUGUUGGUGAGGUAAUGGCUCACCAAGGCGACGAUCAGUAGCUGGUCUGAGAGGAUGAUCAGCCACAUUGGGACUGAGACACGGCCCAAACUCCUACGGGAGGCAGCAGUGGGGAAUAUUGGACAAUGGGCGAAAGCCUGAUCCAGCCAUGCCGCGUGAGUGAUGAAGG